GAUGAACGCUGGCGGCGUGCCUAACACAUGCAAGUCGAGCGGCAGCGCGAGUAGUUUACUACUUGGCGGCGAGCGGCGGACGGCUGAGUAACGCGUGGGAAUUUGCCCCAAAGUGAGGAAUAACUGCCCGAAAGGGUGGCUAAUGCCGCAUAUGAUCUUCGGAUUAAAGGAUUUAUCCGCUUUGGGAGAAGCCCGCGUCGGAUUAGGUAGUUGGUGAGGUAAUGGCUCACCAAGCCGACGAUCCGUAGCUGGUCUGAGAGGAUGACCAGCCAGACUGGAACUGAGACACGGUCCAGACUCCUACGGGAGGCAGCAGUGAGGAAUCUUCCACAAUGGGCGAAAGCCUGAUGGAGCAACGCCGCGUGCAGGAUGAAGGCCUUCGGGUUGUAAACUGCUUUUAUAAGUGAGGAAUAUGACGGUAGCUUAUGAAUAAGGAUCCGCUAAUAAC
rnacentral:rRNA from 1 species